UCGAGCGGAUCAAGGGAGCUUGCUCCCUGAGAUCAGACGGCGGACGGGUGAGUAACACGUGGGUAACCUGCCUGUAAGACUGGGAUAACUCCGGGAAACCGGGGCUAAUACCGGAUAACUCAGUUCCUCGCAUGAGGAACUGUUGAAAGGGGGCUUUUAACUACCACUUACUGAUGGACCCGGGGCGCAUUACCUAGUUGGGGAGGCCAUGGCACCCCCGGGUGAAGAUGGGGAGCAGACCAGAGAGGGAGGGGCGGAUGAUGGGACAGAUCCCCCCCCCAUCACUCCUUUGGGACGCAGCAGUAAGUAAUCCUCGCCGAAGGAAAGGCUGACGAAGAAAAACCGGGGGGGGGCUGAAGGCGGUCAUUUACCCCAACUCCGCUGUCGGGAGCUGACAACGACGUUGCACCACCUGUCACUCUGUCCCCCGAAGGAGAAAGCCCUAUCUCUAGGGUUGUCGGAGGAUGUCACGACCGGAAAUAGUUGUUCAGCUUGCUUUCGAAUUAAAUGAGAGGUCUACAGCGCGUGCGCGGGCCCCUUUCAAUAUCUAUGUGAGAGUCACACGCGUGACCCGUACUCUCCACGCUGAGUGCUGAAUGACGUUAUCUGCAGGAACAGAAGGCGGAAUUCCU
rnacentral:rRNA from 1 species